UUGAGGAAUAUUGGUCAAUGGACGAGAGUCUGAACCAGCCAAGUCGCGUGAAGGAAGACGGUUCUAUGAAUUGUAAACUUCUUUUGUGCAGGAAUAAAGUGGGUUACGUGUAACCUUUUGUAUGUACUGUACGAAUAAGGAUCGGCUAACUCCGUUCCAGCAGCCGCGGUAAUACGGAGGAUCCGAGCGUUAUCCGGAUUUAUUGGGUUUAAAGGGUUCUGAGGUGGAUUGCUAAGUCAGCGGUGAAAGUUUGCAGCUUAACUGUAAAAUUGCCGUUGAAACUGUCGGUCUUGAGUGCAAAUGAGGUAGGCGGAAUGUGUUGUGUAGCGGUGAAAUGCUUAGAUAUAACACAGAACUCCGAUUGCGAAGGCAGCUUACUGGGAUGCAACUGACACUGAUGCACGAAAGCGUGGGUAUCAAACAGGAUUAGAUACCCGAGUAGUCC
rnacentral:rRNA from 1 species